rnacentral:sRNA from 1 species
UACUUGGGCGAGAGUAGUAGUAGGAUGGGUGACCUCCCGGAAAGUACUCGUGUUGCAUCCCUCUUUUCUUUUUUUUUGUUAAAAAUGUACGACUUUAUAACUUUUAGACCAUGAGGCCAAACUUGGAAUGUGAUACCUUUUCGGAAAGCCCAAAGAGAGCUCUCCUAUGAAUGAGGAAAGAAAAUGGAAUUCUUCUAUUGGUUUUUUAUUCUACUCCAAAUUUUGACCUUAAUGUACUUUUUUGGUCUUUUUCGUGAUCUUUGCUAUAUGACAGGGCGAAAAUUAUAUGAUCG